rnacentral:rRNA from 1 species
UACGGAGGGUGCAAGCGUUAACGGAAUUACUGGGCGUAAAGCGCGCGUAGGUGGUUUGAUAAGCGAGAUGUGAAAGCCCCGGGUAACUGGAACGGCAUUUCGAACUGUCAGGCUAGAGUAUGGUAGAGGAGUGUGGAAUUUCCUGUGUAGCGGUGAAAUGCGUAGAUAUAGGAAGGAACACCAGUGGCGAAGGCGGCACUCUGGACCAAUACUGACACUGAGGUGCGAAAGCGUGGGGAGCAAACAGGAUUAGAACCCCGUAGUCC